GAGUUUGAUCCUGGCUCAGGAUGAACGCUGGCGGCGUGCUUAACACAUGCAAGUCGAACGGGAAUUACUUUAUUGAAACUUCGGUCGAUUUAAUUUAAUUCUAGUGGCGGACGGGUGAGUAACGCGUGGGUAACCUGCCUUAUACAGGGGGAUAACAGUCAGAAAUGGCUGCUAAUACCGCAUAAGCGCACAGAGCUGCAUGGCUCAGUGUGAAAAACUCCGGUGGUAUAAGAUGGACCCGCGUUGGAUUAGCUAGUUGGUGGGGUAAUGGCCCACCAAGGCGACGAUCGGUAGCCGGACUGAGAGGUUGAACGGCCACAUUGGGACUGAGACACGGCCCAGACUCCUACGGGAGGCAGCAGUGGGGAAUAUUGCGCAAUGGAGGAAACUCUGACGCAGUGACGCCGCGUGCAGGAAGAAGGUUUUCGGAUUGUAAACUGCUUUAGACAGGGAAGAAAAAAGACAGUACCUGUAGAAUAAGCUCCGGCUAACUACGUGCCAGCCGCCGCGGUAAUUC
rnacentral:rRNA from 1 species